rnacentral:tmRNA from 4 species
GGGGGUGACGGGUUUCGACGGGUUCUUGAACAAAAGAAGUCAGGCCGGAGGCGCAGGGUACUUCGUUAUAACUUCCUUGCAACCAAUACGUGCAAACGUAGUGAAAGCAUCUGACGCCCUUGCUGCUGUUUUCAGCGGCAGGACGCUUGCUCCAGCAUACGCGUAAAUUACGUGCAUGCCAUCGACCUCUCAAUGCUCGUGCGAGAGACCCUCGGUGUCAUACAUCGAGCUUGGCCACCCUGAUGCCCGAUAGCGGCGGCGACACCAUCGGGCACAACCCCUUUACCGCAAGGUAGAGUAUGUCUGUAUCAGCUUCUUUUGGGACAGGAUUCGGACGGGAGUUCAAUUCUCCCCACCUCCACCC